CAGCCGCCACGGGAAUACGUAGGUGGCAAGCGUUGUCCGGAAUUAUUGGGCGUAAAGGGCUCGCAGGCGGUUUCUUAAGUCUGAUGUGAAAGCCCCGGCUCAACCGGGGAGGGUCAUUGGAAACUGGGAAACUUGAGUGCAGAAGAGGAGAGUGGAAUUCCACGUGUAGCGGUGAAAUGCGUAGAGAUGUGGAGGAACACCAGUGGCGAAGGCGACUCUCUGGUCUGUAACUGACGCUGAGGAGCGAAAGCGUGGGGAGCGAACAGGAUUAGAUACCCCUGUAGUCCCUGUCUCUUAUACA
rnacentral:rRNA from 1 species